GCUGCAAUUGUUUUUUAUGGCGCCUUAGACCCGAGCGAGGAACUUGUUGCACUGCAUGACACAACUUUAAGCAGAGGCAACCUCGCCUCUUUCCAAGGAGACAGCUGGAUUGGCAAUCAUGUGGUGGAUGCGUAUUGUAGAUUGCUGCAAUUCGAUGAUGCAUCAAGGACCAAACUCUAUCUAUCGCCCUACAUAGCGGUAAUGGAGGGCUUU